rnacentral:rRNA from 1 species
CGCAUCUGUGCAUGCAGCAUAUCAAUAAGCGGAGGAAAAGAAACUAACAAGGAUUCCCCUAGUAACGGCGAGUGAAGCGGGAAGAGCUCAAAUUUGAAAUCUUAGAGGGUUUCCCUUUACGAAUUGUAGUUUAAAGAAGUGUUUUCUGUUGAGGUUUUGGUAAAAGUUCUUUGGAAUAGGACAUCAUAGAGGGUGAGAAUCCCGUAUUUGACCUUUACUUUCAACUUUGUGAUACAGCUUUCAAAGAGUCGGAUUGUUUGGGAAUGCAGUCCAAAAUGGGUGGUAAAUUUCAUCUAAAGCUAAAUAUUGGCGAGAGACCGAUAGCGAACAAGUACCGUGAGGGAAAGAUGAAAAGAACUUUGAAAAGAGAGUUAAACAGUACGUGAAAUUGUCAAAAGGGAAGCGUUUGACACCAGUGUUGUUUUUCUGAAAAUCAAUUAAAGAACUGUUUAUGCUAAGUUGUUUAGACUUUAUCAGCUAUCUGUUUAGUUUUGAGCUUUUCUUUAAUGCACUUUUCAGUUAACAAGUCAACAUCAAUUUCUCUUGCUGUAAAAAAGCUUGAGGAAGGUGGCUUGAGAUUCGUCUUAAGUGUUUAUAGCCUCUUGCCUAUGCAGUCGGAGAGAUUGAGGUCUGCAGCGUAGAUCCUUCGGGGCUAAAUGCAUUUGUGCUAAGUUAUAGCAUUUUAUAGACAACUUGUUGACUAUGAUUUGUCUUGUAGCUUACUCGCUUAUGUUAUUUUACCUACGCUUAGGAUGUUGAGUCGUAGAGCACGCAG